UUCGGAUCAUUCAAGAUGGACUCAAGCGGUUGCCAAGGCAACAGUUUUACAGUCGUCACUGCCAUGGAAACCCUUUCUGUGGCAUAAUAUAAAUAUUUUCCUUUAAGAAUGAGACGGGGAGAUAUAAGAGGCAAAGAGAUGGAGGUGGGGGGAGCAAAAAAUGUCGACAAAAAUAGUCCAUAGUCCUGAAGUGGAGAGAGGAUGGAUCGAGAAGAACAUAGCACAACUUCUGGGAUAUUCCUGCCGAAGAUGUAUAACCUGGAUCUAUUCAGGAGAAAAUAUCAGACAAGCUAAACUGAGGGUCAUUCUGCAAAGUAACUAGCCUGGAAUUUUCAAACGUGUUGAGGCUUGAAAGUUAAGGAAAGAUUGAGCAGCUCUACCAGAUUGAAGACUAAAUGCAAUGCAUGAUCCCGGACUGAAUUCUUUCACUAUAAAAGAGACAUUAUAGAGACAAUUGUCAAAAUGUGAAUGGUUCUGUGCAUUAGGCGAUAGUAAUGUUUCCCUGGGAAACUUCCUGAUUUUUUCUGGUUGUGUUGUGGUUCAGUACAGGUGUGUUUGUAGGAAAUACAGAGUAUUCUGGGAUGAUGGACCAUUGUGCUGGCCAGUGUGCUCUCAAACUGUUCAGAAAAAGUUGUUUCUGCAACUCUCUGUU